rnacentral:rRNA from 1 species
CCUACGGGAGGCAGCAGUAGGGAAUCUUCCACAAUGGGCGAAAGCCUGAUGGAGCAACGCCGCGUGAGUGAUGAAGGCCUUCGGGUUGUAAAACUCUGUCAUUCGGGACGAACCGGAGUCUGAGGAAAUGCAGACUCUCUGACGGUACCGGAGGAGGAAGCCCCGGCUAACUACGUGCCAGCAGCCGCGGUAAUACGUAGGGGGCAAGCGUUGUCCGGAUUCACUGGGCGUAAAGCGCGCGCAGGCGGUGAUGUAAGUCUGAGGUGAAAACCCGAAGCUCAACUUCGGGACUGCCUUGGAUACUGCGUCACUUGAGGAUAGGAGAGGCAAGGGGAAUUCCACGUGUAGCGGUGAAAUGCGUAGAGAUGUGGAGGAACACCUGUGGCGAAGGCGCCUUGCUGGCCUAUUUCUGACGCUGAGGCGCGAAAGCGUGGGGAGCAAACAGGAUUAGAUACCCUGGUAGUCCACGCUGUAAACGAUGAGUGCUAGGUGCAGGUGGGCUCAUACCCAUCUGUGCCGAAGCUAACGCAUUAAGCACNCCGCCGUCGGGAGGUACGGUCGCGAGACGUAGUAAACGUUAAAGUAGUAAGUUAGACGGACGUUGAGGACGUUGCCGACGGACGACGACGAGGGGAGGUAGG